GCUGUGAGGCAUGCUGGAGGUAUCAGAAGUGCGAAUGCUGACAUAAGUAACGAUAAAGCGGGUGAAAAGCCCGCUCGCCGGAAGACCAAGGGUUCCUGUCCAACGUUAAUCGGGGCAGGGUGAGUCGACCCCUAAGGCGAGGCCGAAAGGCGUAGUCGAUGGGAAACAGGUUAAUAUUCCUGUACUUGGUGUUACUGCGAAGGGGGGACGGAGAAGGCUAUGUUAGCCGGGCGACGGUUGUC
rnacentral:rRNA from 1 species